UAAUAAAUUGUAAUAUUAACUUUUAAAUUUUAAACUAAGUUAAAUUGUAAUAUCAUUUUAAAGUUAUUUCCCAAAAGAUUUUAAAUUUUAUUUUAUAAUUAUUUCCCAAAAGUAUAUAUUAUUUCCCAAAAAUAUAAAUUUCCAAACUAAUGUUAUUUCCCCUUUAACUAUUUCAUUUCCCUCCCUUUAACUAUUUCAUUCCCCCUAUUUCAUUUUCCCCAAUAUCAUUUCCCUAAUUUUUUUCAUUCCCCCCAAUCUCAUUCCCCCCAAUAUCAUUUCCUCCAAUCUCUAUCCCCCAAUCUCGUUCUUAACCACCAACAUUUCUCCAUCAACCACCAACGGCGUUCUCGGUCAACUACACCAACAUUUCAGCGGCGUCGAGGUAACUCCAGUCCGGCGCGUCGAGGUAACUCCAGUACUCCGGCAAGUCGAGGUAACUCCAGUCGGACUUCUAUUUAUCAUUUCN
rnacentral:lncRNA from 1 species